rnacentral:rRNA from 1 species
UGGGGAAUAUUGGACAAUGGGGGCAACCCUGAUCCAGCCAUGCCGCGUGAGUGAAGAAGGCCUUAGGGUUGUAAAGCUCUUUUGGCGGGGACGAUAAUGACGGUACCCGCAGAAUAAGCCCCGGCUAACUUCGUGCCAGCAGCCGCGGUAAUACGAAGGGGGCUAGCGUUGUUCGGAAUCACUGGGCGUAAAGCGCACGCAGGCGGAUUGAUAAGUCAGGGGUGAAAUCCCGGAGCUCAACUUCGGAAUUGCCUUUGAUACUGUCUGUCUUCGAGUUCGGGAGAGGUUGGCGGAAUUCCUAGUGUAGAGGUGAAAUUCGUAGAUAUUAGGAAGAACACCAGUGGCGAAGGCGGCCAACUGGCCCGAUACUGACGCUCAUGUGCGAAAGCGUGGGGAGCAAACA